rnacentral:lncRNA from 1 species
CUUCUUCCAUUUUUUUUAACGGAAGGAAAGUUUCUCUCUCGGCGCAUGUUACCAUAACGUGCGCACUUCAUAGGACGGCGAGCGAAAACUUCGAAUCCAGCAACAAUUGUAGGGGGUAAUAGAAAAGGGAAGCUCACAGCAAAGGUUAGUGAUGUUAAAGAAAGUGGGAAAACCCAAUUGAAGCCGAGUAGAAGUACAACAGUAGCGGAGUGUUAGCGGAGUGUGACGGCCAACAAUGGCUGCCGCUAGGAAGGAUGGAAACGAAUUUGAUAAAGGGGAGAAGCAACGAAGCAUCAACAAGCUCAGAAAAUGCGAGCUCCAGCCCAGGCACCAAGGGUCUUGUAACGGAACAAAACAGAAAGGAACAGGUGGUGAGAAGAAGCAAUCGAAGGCUCAACUUGAAAAGGGAAAUAUGCAGGAAUGGCUAAG